UACCAGCACCCCGAGUGGUCGGGACGUUAUUGGGCCUAAAGCAUCCGUAGCCGGUUCUACAAGUCUUCCGUUAAAUCCAACUGCUUAACAGGUGGGCUGCGGAAGAUACUAUAGAGCUAGGAGGCGGGAGAGGCAAGCGGUACUCGAUGGGUAGGGGUAAAAUCCGUUGAUCCAUUGAAGACCACCAGUGGCGAAGGCGGCUUGCCAGAACGCGCUCGACGGUGAGGGAUGAAAGCUGGGGGAGCGAACCGG
rnacentral:rRNA from 1 species